AUGAUGUCAAAAAAAAAAGAAAAAAAAGAAUGAAAUGCAGCAAAGAGGUUGGAGGAAGCAAAACUGUUUUUCCCUUUUCCCGGAUUUUUCCGGCCGGGAUAUAGUAUAAGGGAUCAGGAAUUGUCUCCCGACUACGUUGCUGCUUUGUCCAAGGAAUUUGGUAAACCCGCCGGCUGAUAAAGAUUCGCCAUAGAAAAACAUCCACGGAAUGGCUAUGUAGCCAAUUCAGUUCCUGUUCUGCAGGAAGCUGCGCAACGCCACCAUUUUGGCAAUCCGUUUGAUUUUCGAAGAAAAUCCGCGGCGUACGCGUCCUGCUGGAUCAUAAAAUGUCAGGGAUCAGAUCUAUACAUUCGCGCUCAACCGGGCAUAGGGAGAAGCAGUCGAAACGCCUAUUUAAAACAACAUCCGGACAUCCGAACCUGGAGCUGAUAUCUAAUAAGCGACAGGCUCCGGUGCCUCGAUUACUGGUUGCGGCUGUGGUUAGUUGUUGCUGCUGGAAGAGCUGUCCCGUAGAAACCAACAAAAAAAAAUUGAAAAAGGUGAAUAUGAAAAUGUUAUGUGAAUAAAAACAGAAUUGAA